UACGUAGGUGGCAAGCGUUGUCCGGAUUUACUGGGUGUAAAGGGCGAGUAGGCGGACCUGCAAGUCAGAUGUGAAAUCCCGGGGCUUAACCCCGGAACUGCAUUUGAAACUGUAGGCCUUGAGUGGGCGAGAAGUACGCGGAAUGCGUGGUGUAGCGGUGAAAUGCAUAGAUAUCACGCAGAACUCCGAUUGCGAAGGCAGCGUACCGGCGCCCAACUGACGCUGAAGCACGAAGGCGUGGGUAUCGAACAGG
rnacentral:rRNA from 1 species